rnacentral:rRNA from 1 species
GAUGAACGCUGGCGGCGUGCCUAAUACAUGCAAGUAGAACGCAGUUGCGAACGGGUGAGUAACGCGUAGGUAACUGACUGGUAGCGGGGGAUAACUAUUGGAAACGAUAGCUAAUACCGCAUACUACCAGAUGGACCUGCGUUGUAUUAGCUAGUUGGGGAGGUAACGGCUCAACAAGGCAACGAUACAUAGCCGGCCGGAGAGGGAGAUAGGCAAAACUGGUGCGGGGGAACGGCCCAGACUCCUACGGGAAGCAGCAGUAGGGAAUCUUCGGCAAUGGAGGGAACCCUGACCGAGCAACGCCGCGUGAGUGAAGAAGGUUUUCGGAUCGUAAAGCGCUGUUGUUAAGGAAGCGGUACUUAACCAGAAAGGGACGGCUAACUACGUGCCAGCAGCCGCGGUAAUAC